UAGGGAAUCUUCGGCAAUGGACGAAAGUCUGACCGAGCAACGCCGCGUGAGUGAAGAAGGUUUUCGGAUCGUAAAACUCUGUUGUUAGAGAAGAACAAGGACGUUAGUAACUGAACGUCCCCUGACGGUAUCUAACCAGAAAGCCACGGCUAACUACGUGCCAGCAGCCGCGGUAAUACGUAGGUGGCAAGCGUUGUCCGGAUUUAUUGGGCGUAAAGCGAGCGCAGGCGGUUUCUUAAGUCUGAUGUGAAAGCCCCCGGCUCAACCGGGGAGGGUCAUUGGAAACUGGGAGACUUGAGUGCAGAAGAGGAGAGUGGAAUUCCAUGUGUAGCGGUGAAAUGCGUAGAUAUAUGGAGGAACACCAGUGGCGAAGGCGGCCCUCUGGUCUGUAACUGACGCUGAGGCUCGAAAGCGUGGGGAGCAAACAGG
rnacentral:rRNA from 1 species